GUGUGAGAAAAUUGUAGAAAAAUUGUCCAAAAGAGACUGGGAUACCUUGACAAAGAUAAGGACAACAGCAUGCCCCUAACACACCAAUUGAAUAGAAAUGAUAUGAUAGAGAAAACAGGCAACUAGAAAUUCCAGCAAUUUCCAUCUAUAUCAACUUUUAACUAUGCAUUGCAUUUGACACAUAAUCAAGCUGUGUUUGCUACAGGAUAAAAACAAACUGCAGCAGGUAAGAAAAGGAAAAC
rnacentral:misc_RNA from 1 species